rnacentral:rRNA from 1 species
AGAGUUUGAUCCUGGCUCAGGAUGAACGCUAGCGGCAGGCCUAAUACAUGCAAGUCGAGGGGCAGCACGGGUAGCAAUAUCUGGUGGCGACCGGCGCACGGGUGCGUAACACGUAUGCAACCUACCUUCAACAGGAAGAUAGCCCGGGGAAACUCGGAUUAAUAUUCCAUAAAACAGGGGACCCACAUGGGUAUAUUGUUAAAGCUCCGGCGGUUGAAGAUGGGCAUGCGUCCGAUUAGCUAGUUGGUGAGGUAACGGCUCACCAAGGCGACGAUCGGUAGGGGGUCUGAGAGGAUGAUCCCCCACACUGGUACUGAGAUACGGACCAGACUCCUACGGGAGGCAGCAGUAGGGAAUAUUGGUCAAUGGGGGCAACCCUGAACCAGCCAUGCCGCGUGCAGGAAGAAGGCCUUCUGGGUUGUAAACUGCUUUUGAUCGGGAACAAAUGACUCCUGCGGGAGUAGCUGAGUGUACCGAUAGAAUAAGCCACGGCUAACUACGUGCCAGCAGCCGCGGUAAUACGUAGGUGGCAAGCGUUGUCCGGAUUUAUUGGGUUUAAAGGGUGCGUAGGCGGCUUGAUAAGUCAGUGGUGAAAGCCGAUCGCUCAACGAUCGAAUUGCCAUUGAUACUGCCAGGCUUGAGUACAGUUGAGGUAGGCGGAAUUGACAGUGUAGCGGUGAAAUGCAUAGAUAUUGUCAAGAACACCGAUUGCGAAGGCAGCUUACUAAAGUGUAACUGACGCUGAGCACGAAAGUGGGGGAUCAAACAGGAUUAGAUACCCUAGUAGUCC